CGACUGUGACAUACCAACGCCCGUCGAAAUCUAACACAUGCGAAGAAUAAAACUAUUACAGAAAGUAGAAACACACCCCGUAUAUUUUCAAACAUGUUUUAUUUCCAUCAACAUAGAGUGUACUACACACCUCUAGGAAAUAUAAUAUCCUCCUCAAAAAUUGAAAUCAGCUACCACACUAUCCUGGUUUUACGAAAAUGCAGAUAAUUUCAUGACGGUCGGAAUUUACAUUCCGGAAAUAAUCAAUGCACUACUAAAACACCUCAUGUACCCGCAUCAAACUGAAACGGCCCAGAAAAAUCUAAUAAGACAGACAAUUGGUCAUGAAGUAAUAAAUCAAGGAUUUGAUACUAGGAAUAUUAUAAGCGAACAAACAAUAAGUAAUAUGGUCCAUUCUGAAUUACAAAAAUUUGGGAUAGGACAUGUCGCAUUCAGCCUCUCAGGAAUCUUUGUGAUAGGCAAAGUUUCUCUAAUGACUAUCAACACCAUACUGAAUAUAUCCAUCCUUUACAACACAUUUGGUUGGAGCAUUAAAUUAAUAGCGGGCAUUUUCUAAAACAUAACGCAUUAUCUAAUGCACAAAGAGAACUCGAACAGAUACGGGGCUGUUUCUACUACUAUGACCAACAAGACAACGGAAGAAAAACACCCUACUCCACAAUUAUAUCCAGAUCUUCGAAGAACUUCAAUAUAAAAUAAGUAUCCACCACACAUCACAUGCAUACGGACCCCCCUUUUAUAUUAUAUUCAUUUUACUCUCUCCCCUUAUUAAUACUACAAUUUAAUAUUAUACAUUGAUUUCUUUAUAAAAUAAUAUGCAUUGUUAUGAGGGCAUAACAAAAAAGAGACUGGGGUGGAUGUAAUGAUAUGCUAUUUAAGCUAUCAUACAUUAUGUAAAAUAAAAUAUUAUGUAAUGUUAAUAAAUCAAACAAUUAAUAACAGGAAUGAUAGUAAAACGGAGGCCGGACACUUCCAAUAAACACAGAGUAU